GAUAUAUAUAUAGAGAGUGAGAUAUAUAGAGAGAGAGACAUGUAUAUAUACUCACAUCAGGGCCUCUAAAUCUCUCGGUUCAAGGGGUUUGAGGAGAAACUUUCCUGACCCCAACUCCAUCCUCAUCGAGGGAAAUGUGCUUCUUUGGUCCAGAGAGCGCCCUGCUUUGAAUUCUGCGCACAGACAUUCAAAACUUUCUGGCUGUUUGUUCCUCUCUCUGGCCGAAGAGUGAUCUGUCCUGAGAGUUCGCACAUCUGAGUCUGAGGCUUUCUUGAAUGUCGGUCCUUUCAAUGUCCUGCACUUUUAUUUUACCGUCGGGAGCCCUUAAGCCUUAAAACAUGUCUGGGAGGGCGGAGAGAGCCGCGGGAGCCCCGGCAGAGCCCGCUCGGUUCGGGGCAUUGUGGCAUCACCGUGCGCGUCCGUGGCAGCCGCGGAAUUCCCGGCUCUGGCUCCGCGUGUGUCCCAGCUGGUCCCAGCCCUGCAGCUCCUGCGGUGCCGGAGCCGCUGCCCUCCGACCGUCCCAGCUCGUCGUGCUGGAGGAGGAGCAGCAUCGCCACCGCUCCGGGCACCGGCCGCAGACUGUCCGUUUACAGACUUAAAAAACUGCAUUUUGACCGUCAUGAGUGCACCCUCUUCAGUCAACAUGUCUUCUGGGGAAGCUAAUCGGUGAGGUCCAGUUCUGGAUUUUUAAGUCUAUCAGUUUGUUUCCUGCUUUUGUGG
rnacentral:lncRNA from 12 species